AUGGAUAUGCACCCACAAGUAAUCUGCUGGAAUGUUAGGGGCCUUAACAAUCCAGCGAAGCGUAAGGCCGUUCGAGACUUUGUUAGCACGGUGAAAGUGAACUUGGCGUGUCUACAGGAGAUGAAACUUGAUGUAAUUGAUCAAUAUAUGGUAAUGCAAUGUUUGGGGCCAUCACUUGAUGGUCAUGCUUAUUUGCCGGCGGUUGACACGCGGGGUGGGAUUUUGUUGGCAGGGAUAGCACAGCCCUCACCGUGGACAAUGUUGUGCUUAAUGACAACUUUCUCACCGGCUUGGUGCACACAAAAGUUGGGCAACCUUGGUGGAUUACGGUGGUGUAUGGCCCACAAGGGGAUGAGCUUAAAACCCAGUUUUUGGAGGAUCUCAAGAACCGGAGGGUCGGAUGCCUUGGACCGUGGAUGGUCCUGGGUGACUUUAAUAUGA
rnacentral:rRNA from 1 species